rnacentral:misc_RNA from 1 species
UUUCCGUAGGUGAACCUGCGGAAGGAUCAUUAACGAGUUAGGGUCUUUUAGGCCCGACCUCCCAACCCUAUGUUUAUUGAACCUCUGUUGCUUCGGCGGACCCGUCUCACGGCCGCCGGAGGACCGCUGCGAGGCGUCCUCUGGCCAGCGUCCGCCGAUGGCCAUCCCACUAAACUCUGAAUGAAUCGUGUCAUAUGUCUAAGUCUAUGAUUAAAUUAAAGCAAAACUUUCAACAACGGAUCUCUUGGUUCUG